rnacentral:miRNA from 1 species
CUAUUAGGUUGGUGCAAAAGUAAUUGCGUUUUUUGCCAUUAAAAAUGGACAAAAUAGCAAUUACUUUUGCACCAACCUA